rnacentral:rRNA from 1 species
AUUGAACGCUGGCGGCAGGCCUAACACAUGCAAGUCGAACGAGUGGCGGACGGGUGAGUAAUGUAUGGGAAACUGCCUGAUGGAGGGGGAUAACUACUGGAAACGGUAGCUAAUACCGCAUACCAUCGGAUGUGCCCAGAUGGGAUUAGCUAGUAGGUGGGGUAACGGCUCACCUAGGCGACGAUCCCUAGCUGGUCUGAGAGGAUGACCAGCCACCCUGGAACUGGGACACGGUCCAGACUCCUGCGAGAGGCAGCAGUGGGGAACAUUGCACAAUGGGCGCAAGUAUGAUGCAGCCAUCCCGCGUGUAUGAAGAAGGCCUUCGGUGUGUAAAGUACUUUCAGCGGGGAGGCGUUACCCGCAUAAGAAGCACCGGCUAACUCCGUGCCAGCAGCCGCGGUAAUUC